GGUGGAUGCCCUGGCAGUCAGAGGCGAUGAAGGACGUGCUAAUCUGCGAUAAGCGUCGGUAAGGUGAUAUGAACCGUUAUAACCGGCGAUUUCCGAAUGGGGAAACCCAGUGUGUUUCGACACACUAUCAUUAACUGAAUCCAUAGGUUAAUGAGGCGAACCGGGGGAACUGAAACAUCUAAGUACCCCGAGGAAAAGAAAUCAACCGAGAUUCCCCCAGUAGCGGCGA
rnacentral:rRNA from 1 species